UCAUUCCCCUUUUUCAAACGACUCCUUCUAAACAAGUUCUUUGUUCUGCUGAAGUGUUUCCGUUAGCGGAUUGACAAUGCCACAACAAGCACCAGUUUUACCCUUGGGUAACAUUAAUAAUGGUAUUUUAAACUUAGAUCCGACGUACGAUCUUCCAUGUCCAUCUUGCCAGCCGAAUAGCCUUGAAGCAUUUGAGAUUGAGCUGGUGAAAUGGCAAGAUUUUGAAAGCCACUUGUGCAAACCUGUAAUUAUGGAAGCAAUCGGAAACGAUCCGUAUUAUACCGAUUAUGAACAUUUCUAUAAAAGUGCGAUAGUAUCUAGCUAUCAUGCUUAUCUUCAUAUGAAUAAUGAAUCUGUGAAAAUUGGCCUUUCCUGUUUUCGAAUUAUGCAGAUAAAAUUAAUUGCUCUUCUUGCCACAAUUGACAAGGUUGUAGAAGAGGCUCCAGUGGAUGGACCAUAUGCUGAAGCUGGGAAACGAUUACAGGAUUUAUUUAUGGAAGAAGAUGAAGUUCAGCCUUUGAUUUUGGAUCCAGGAAUGAGGGAAGCCCUUGGACUGAAUUGAUAGGAUAAAGAAACUUAAGGACAGAUACAUUGUAUAUAGAUGCCCUGAUUACAGAUUACAGAAUAUGGAAAUUGGAAGGCAGAUGUUUAUAGAUAGUCAGUGAAAAGAUGUUUACACAUGCUAGUGAAACAGUAAAAAUAAACAUAGUAUACAUGUAGAUGUAGGCAGAUGUGACUGGAUUGUGUGGGAAAAUGGAAACAGAAAAAGAAAGAAAAUGUGGAUAAUUUUAAAACCAUAAUAUUGAUAGAAGGAGGAACAAUUUUUUGUAUUCUUAUUAAAAUUUUGACCUAUUACCUUUAUUUUAAAGGUGAUACAGUUGAUUACAGUUUUGAUAUUUGCAGAUUAAUUUAUUUAAAAUCUCCAACAAAGGUUAGAUAGACACACUUGUAGACCUAGAGAAAUGAUGUUGAAGAAUUAAUGAUUAAUUGAUCAAUUUCUUUUUGGAUUGAAAAGCUAGUAAAAAAUAAAAUAGCCUGCCUUCUAAUCAGCAUGCUUCAUUCUUAUUAACAGUAUAAUGCUGUUACAUGUCAAUGGUUUGUGGUUUUAUUGCAAUACUGUUACCAUGUUUUUUUAAAACAUCAUGUUGUAAAUAUAUGAACACACUUUUAAUUUUAUGAUCACACCUGUAAUUUUAUAAACAUCAUGGUGUAAAUAUAUGUCCACACCUGUAAUUUUAUAAACAUCAUGGUGUAAAUAUAUGAACACACUUGUAAGUUUAUAAAACUAUUGAUAUUAUAGAUUUUCACAGUACAGUGAUACAGAAAUUAUGUAUGAGAGUGAACAUGGUGACUAAAUUGUUUAUGCAAUGACUGUUAACACCUGUCAAUAUACAGUACUUCUUUAUUAUUUUCAUGUAGUAUGGUACUUUUUUUAUGGAUAAGAUUUUUAUGUUAUAAUUGAUGUCUUUUGAUUUGAGACAGUUUAAAAUGUUUUAAUGUUACACCAGUUGUGUUCAGAUAUAUUCAUUUAUUAAAGUGUUGUAGGCUCAAAAUUUUUUCGGUGCAAUAUGCUAUGUUUUAUAAUUAUUUUCCAUAAGCUUGUCUAAUGUGUAUGUAACAUAAUCGUGUUUCAUUGAACAAAUGAUCUACAUAGCAUCUAUUUUAAAUAAAUAAUGACACUGCAAUAAGACCUGACAGGUUUUUUAUAUCCAUUAAUUUUAUCAAAUCUUGCCAUCCACAUCAUGUGUUCAUUUUAAAAAAAAUACAGAUCUUACUACCUUAUGUUUACACUUUUUUUUAUUCUUAUUUUUAUUAGAUAUAAUACUUGUAUGACUUGUUUUAACAAGUAUAUUUAUGUUAUUUAUUAUAUAUAAAAAACAAAAAAAUACUCAUUUUAGUACAAAACAUAAAAAAAUAUAUAUAUAUAUUUGGUAAAAUAUUGAUAUUAUUCAUUUAGAUUUAAAUAAAAGAUGUAUACAUAUA